UCAAUUUCUGUGAAGGACAGAAACAGAAAGUCAGAGAGAGUAAAAGCCAUGCAGUUUACUACUUGCCCAAGGAGACUAAAUCGAGAACCAUAUAUAAAUAAGUAACCUAAAAUUAGCAAGUGGCUAUUUUUAGGUCACAGGGAAGAACUGUUACUGAACAUAUUAAUUACAGAGAUAAACACACUGAAGCCAGAAGAUUACAUGACUCGUCCAAAUUCACACCGAACAUUCUGGCCACUGGACUGAGUGCAAGCAUUAAUGGGAGGCAAAAAAAAGCAAACACAGUAGGGUCAUUUCGAGGCAAUCGCUAUAAUCCAGUCAAAGAUUAUGCUAGCUCCAGCCAGCCUCUGUACUCUUCCUGUGGCGAUUUAAAUCAUAACUCCAUGCUGGAUCACAGAGUGGGGGCGCUCAGUCUUGUAAAUGCCAUCAUAAUCAAUCCCUGUGCUCAGAAAUGGAAACAUGAACUCAUCCGGACCAGGAGGUGCAUGAAGAUUAUGGGAAAGAAGAUUCUGUUGAUGUUUUGGUUUUUCUUCCUUGCAUCUUUGAAACGAUUUAUUGUUCACUUUUGCACACACUUGUCGUGAGGACAGGGCAAGUCCAGCCUGGGGCCUACUCCCUGCUGCAGCAUUUUUAAGCCCCCAGAGUGGACCGAGGGGAGGACAUGGGCAUGUCUUUCCAUCUGUUGAUGUUUGGAGAGAGCUUCAGGAACUGAUGUUUUUUCCUUUUCAUUGUAUGUAGACUAGAAAGCAAAUACCUAAUGCCUUUUGGGGAGCACUUUGAUAACUUUGCAGGGGAAACUAUCUGAAAACAAGAAACCAAGUGUGACUUAAUAGAAACAAACCAGGUAUUCUGAUUUUAUUAACACACUGAAAUAAACUAGUCCUGAAACCUAUACUUUGACUUUUGUUAGUAAGUCAUAUCCCUCUAUUGGUUAGCAAACUUAAGCUGGAUUUUCUUUUACUUGCAACUUAAAUUAGCACAAUUACUAUAUUGAUAAAUCCUGACCUAUGUGAUGUGUGUAGAACAUAUUCAAAAUUAAGGAAGCCCAUUCUUAUGACAGGGACAAGGUCAAAGUGACCCAACCUAUAACCAAAAGAAAUUGAUCUUCCUUAACUCCAGUGUGCAGAGUACAUCAGAAAUGUGUUAUCACAAUAGUCUUCAAUAUCUAAUGCAAAAUACCUUAGUACAAAUACAUUUUUAUUCAGAUGUUA